rnacentral:rRNA from 1 species
UACGAAGGGGGCUAGCGUUGCUCGGAAUCACUGGGCGUAAAGGGUGCGUAGGCGGGUCUUUAAGUCAGGGGUGAAAUCCUGGAGCUCAACUCCAGAACUGCCUUUGAUACUGAAGAUCUUGAGUUCGGGAGAGGUGAGUGGAACUGCGAGUGUAGAGGUGAAAUUCGUAGAUAUUCGCAAGAACACCAGUGGCGAAGGCGGCUCACUGGCCCGAUACUGACGCUGAGGCGCGAAAGCUAGGGGAGCAAACGGGG